rnacentral:piRNA from 1 species
UAGGACGAAGGGAGCUAAGUGCACAAACC